rnacentral:lncRNA from 1 species
GGUUACAAACAUCUCCCCAUCAUCGAUUUCCUUCCCAUUCUUUUUCUCACUUGGUUUAGGGGUGGGGUUGAGAUGGGACAGGCCCUCCCAGCUGCCCUUGGGCUAGAAGCCAUGAUGACAGCAUACGUGGGCAGGCUCCACAGGGAGGCGGGGCCGUCACCUACCCAGGUGCUCCUGGCUGGGCCCUUCCCACAGCCAGAACAGUUCUCAGCCACUGCAGGAAGGUGGGGCCGGCCGUCCACACAGCCCUGAGUCCUGGCAGGUGUCUGGGUGGGAGGCCCUCAGGCAGGCUUGAUGCAAGGUGACCUCUGGUGGCCAGACCAGUCUGGGGGCCAGGGGUAGGCUUGCGGUGGUGAGGAUCUGGCGAGCUGGGGGAUGAGUGAGCAAGAAGGAGUUGGUGGUGGUGGCUGGAGGCAGGAAGCCUUGGUGAUCAUCCCAGGCACUUGUGAGCUGCUUGCUGGUGAGAACCUAGCAGCAUUCCUUCUGGACGGGUGGCCCUGGACCACAAUAAUCAAUUUUGGGGUCAGGUUGUCCUGAGCUCCCAGCCCUGACCCAGGCAUGAAUGUAGUUCCAACCCCACGGCCUUCCCAUCAAACCCUGUGUCUCCCUAGAGGCUCUGGGCCAGUCCCCCACUUCAGCUCCCACCUGCAUCAGCCAACCUGGCCUCCACUGUCCCUCUCCCCAUGUCCACUUCAGUGUGUCUCUAUUUCCCGAGGAUGGGAAAGCCACACGUUGUGCCUGAGGGUGACAAACUGUGCAGUGGUGGAUAACAAGAGAGCUUCCAUUCUCCUUUCACCCACCCCACUGUGGUUCCCUCUGCCAAGAAGCACCUACUGUGUGCCAGGCCCCAUGCCACUGCUGUACAUUAGCCGUCAGCUCAGGGGUUCUCCACCUUAUCCGAGCCCCAGCCAUGGGCGAGAUGGUAUUUGGUUGCCUGCUGUACUCCCUUGGGCUGUGGCACAGAUAAGAUAGGGUACAGCCUGUUUGCAAAUUCCCCGGGGAUUAGCUGUCACUCCACCCCGUUAUCUCCCAUUCAGGAAGCCUCCGUGGAAUGCCAGUGAGGAGGAGUGAUGUCAUUGCAGACGCAACAUUGAAUUCAUUGAUAUUUGAACUGAAAAAAAAACAAACCGGGCUUCCCUGGUGGCACAGUGGUUGAGAAUCCGCCUGCCAAUGCAGGGGACACGGGUUCGAGCCCUGGUCUGGGAGGAUCCCACAUGCCACGGAGCAACUGGGCCUGUGAGCCACAACUACUGAGCCUGCGCGUCUGGAGCCUGUGCUCCGCAACGAGAGGCCGCGACAGUGAGAGGGCUGCGCACCACGAUGAAGAGUGGCCCCCGCUCACCGCAACUAGAGAAAGCCCUCGCACAGAAACGAAGACCCAACACAGCCUAA